UAUGCGGGUUUGGCCAUUGUCGGAGCAGGAGGUAUGGGAAAAUCCACCUUGGCACAACAUGUUUACAAUGACAAGAGGGUACAAGAACAUUUUAAUGUCAGGAUGUGGGUUUGCAUCUCACGCAAACUUGAUGUCCAUCGUCACACACGGGAGAUUAUCGAAUCCGCAGCUAAGGGGGAGUGCCCACGUGUUGAUAAUCUGGAUACUCUGCAGUGCCAAUUAAGGGACAUACUGCAAAAAUCAGAGAAAUUCUUGCUUGUGUUGGAUGAUGUUUGGUUUGAUGAUUCGAGUAGUCAGAUGGAAUGGGACCAACUGUUAGCUCCUCUAGUUUCUCAGCACAAUGGAAGCAAAGUUUUGGUAACUUCUCGACGGGAUACAUUUCCUUCUGCUCUUAACUGUGAAAAGGUGCUCCGUUUGGAAAGCAUGGAAGAUACUCAGUUCUUGGCACUCUUCAAAUACUAUGCCUUCACCGGAGCACAAAUCAGAGAUCCUCCCUUGCUUGAAAGGCUAGAAGAGAUUGCAGAGGAGAUAGUUAAAAGGCUUGGACAGUCUCCUUUGGCUGCAAAAGUUGUUGGUUCCCAGUUGAAAGGGAAAAUGAAUGUUCCUGCCUGGAAAGAUGCUCUAACUUUAAAAAUUGAGAAUUUAGGUGAGCCCAGAACAGCUCUGUUGUGGAGUUAUCAGAAGUUAGAUCCACGUCUGCAGAGGUGCUUUGUAUAUUGCAGCUUGUUUCCGCAAGGACACAAGUAUAAAAUUGAUGAGUUGGUUCACUGGCUGAUAGCGGAGGGGCUUGUUGAUCCAUGCAACCAGAACAGGAGAAUGGUAGAUGUUGGAAAGGAUUACCUCAAUGAGAUGGUUUCUGGGUCUUUCCUGCAACCAUUUUCUGAUAGAUUUGUGAAGACAUACUACAUUAUGCAUGAUCUUGUUCAUGAUUUGGCAGAGUUGCUCUCUAAAGAAGAUUGCUUCAGAUUAGAAGAUGAUAAGGUGGCAGAAAUACCAUGCACCGUUCGUCAUCUAUCUGUUCGUGUUAAGAGUAUGAAACAACAUCAGCGCAGUAUCUGCAAGCUACAUCAUUUGCGCACUGUUAUCUGCAUUGACCCACUUACAGAUGAUGUGAGUGAUGUUUUCGAUCAGGUACUGCAAAACUUGAAGAAGUUACGUGUACUCUAUUUGUGCUUCUACAAUAGUAACAAGCUACCUGAAUCUGUUGGUGAGCUGAAGCACCUUCGGUAUUUAAACCUCAUUAGAACUUCCAUUGCCGAAUUGCCUGGAUCAUUAUGUGCUCUUUACCACCUACAGUUACUUCUGUUAAACCAUAAAGUUAAGAGUUUGCCUCACAAACUAUGCAAAUUAAGCAAGUUACGGCAUCUUGAAGGGUAUCAAGAUCUGGGAUACAGGAUGUAUGAAGUAGCUCUGCCUCAAAUCCCUUAUAUAGGCAAGCUAACUUUGCUCCAGCAUUUUAAAGAAUUUUGUGUGCAAAAACAGAAGGGAUGUGAGUUGCGGCAGCUCAGAGACAUGAAAGAGCUUGGUGGCAGUUUAAGAGUCAGAAAUCUCGAGAAUGUCACUGGAAAGGGUGAAGCCUUAGAGUCGAAGCUAUAUCAGAAAAGUCAUAUUGGAAGCUUGAAUCUUGUCUGGGGUUGCAAUAAUAGCAUGAAUGCAGAUGAUAGUUUACAGUUGGAGAUUCUAGAAGGCUUGAUGCCACCGCCUCAACUGAAAGGCCUGAAAAUCAAGGGUUACAAAUCUGACAUGUAUCCAAGUUGGCUACUUGAGGGUUUGCAUUUUGAGAAUUUGGAAUCUUUUAAGCUCGUCAAUUGCAGUGCGUUAGAAGGCCUGCUACUCAAUACCGAGCUCUUCAGGCAUUGCUCUGAACUGAAGCUCAAGAAUAUCUGGACUCUGAAAACAUUAUCUUAUCUUCCAGCAGCCCUCACGCACUUAACAAUUAGCAGUUGCCCACUGCUUAUGUUUAUUGCCAGUGAUGAGCUAGAACAGCAUGAUCAGAGGAAGAACAUCAUGAGAACAGACUACUUGGCAUCACAACUUGCUUCAUUGUGGGAGGUGGAUUCCAGAUCGCAUAUUAAUAUCAAGAGAGCAUUAUCGUCAGAACAUUCAUCUCUGAAGCAAAUGAUGACAUUAAUGGAUGCUGACAUGUCACAUCUUCAAAUCAUUGCAAAUGCUGUAGAAAGAGAGAACGGUGAGGUAAUGCUGAAAGAUGAUACCAUCAACGCAUGGAUAUGUUGCCACGAGCAGAGGCUGAGAUUCAUUUAUGGAAGAAGCAUCAGCUUGCCCUUGGUUCCACCAUCUGGUCUUCGUCAACUUCAUCUUUCUUCAUGCAGUAUUACAGAUGGGGCAUUAGCUGUUUGCCUUGACGGUCUCACGUCACUGAGACGUUUGUCCUUGAUGGAGAUCAUGACUUUAACUACAUUUCCAUCACAAGUGGUUCUCCAACAUUUGACAAAGCCCAACGACCUUUACAUUUCAUCCUGCUGGUGUCUCAGAUCAUUAGGGGGGUUACGAGCUGCUACCUCUCUUUCAGAUAUUCAAUUGUUUGACUGCCCUUCUUUAGACUUGGCACAUGGAGCAAAUUUUUUGCCAUUAUCUCUUGGGAAGCUCCGUAUACAGCGGUGCAUGGUUACAACUAAUUUCUUCAGUUGUGACUUGCCAUUCCUGAUGAAUCUUUCCAUGUUUGGGUGCAGAAGCUCUGCAUCCUUGUCGAUUGGUCACCUGACCUCCCUUGAAUCACUAUCACUAGGAGGUAUCCCUGAUCUGUGCUUUCUUGAAGCACUGUCUUCCCUGCAACUUCGCUAUGUACAUUUGACAGACGUCCCGAAGCUCGACGGGAAGUGCAUUUCACAGUUCCGGGUACAAAAAUCACUAUAUGUUAGCAGCCUUAUGAUGCUCAACCACAUGCUCUCGGCUGAAGGUUUUACAGUUCCACCAUUUCUGUCUCUUGAAGGAUGCAAGGAGGCAUCUGUUUCAUUCGAAGAAUCAACAGAUUUCACAUCUGUCAAGUGCCUCAGGUUAUGUGAUUGCGAAAUGAGUUCCCUGCCAAGAAAUCUGAAGUGCUUCUCCAACCUGACGAAACUCGAAAUCCACAUGUGUCCCAAUAUAUCACCUUUACCAGAUCUGCCAUCCUCCCUCCAGCACAUAGUCGUGUGGAAUUCUGAACUCCUGCAGAAGAGCUGCAGAGCACCUGACGGGGAAGCUGGCCAAAGAUUGAGCAUAUCCGCUGGAAGGAAUUCACAGAAUUUCCACACUUGCAACUAUAAAGAGAAAAGGUACAAUAUUCCCCCAGUGCCUUUGCAAAUAUGAACUUUUUAAAUAUUUGUUUUUAUCUUUCUCUUUCAAAUACUUCAUUUGUUCCAAAGUUCCAUUCGUUUAUUUAUUUCAUGCAGCAGGACCAACAUCUUUCCCCUCCAAUGAUCUCGUCUCCACCCGCUGCCUGUCAGGGGUUGGAGUGCCUCAAUCUCACUUGCACUUCAGCUCUCUCCAUCGCCUUUGUCGAUCGCUCCAUCUGUCACUCUUCCUCUGAAUGGGCCCACCACUAGUGUUGCGGCGCUUGUCUAAAUUUGAAUCUCUUCCACAAUUGUUGUCGUUAAUUUGUUAUCCUGUGUCGGCGUGUUACUUUUGAUUGGUGGUGCAUGUAACAGUUACCCCUCGUGUACUGAGAUGCACUAGCAUCCAAUAGUUUCAUGUACAUUCAAUAAUCUCAUCUAAUAAUUUUGGACCCUGAUAAGUGUCGAACGUCAGGUACGAGCACAUGGUAACUCCGAACAUUUUUGAGGGCAAGUUUAGUUACGUGCGGAUGAUAACUUUAGUUCGCAAGCAUGGCAACUUUCGCAUUUCAGUUUAUUUUUGACAGAAAUUUGCCUGUGUAUCACUGGAAUUUGCCAUCCUUAUAUGAUUGAAAUUGUCAUCGAAAAACGUCAGGGCCGGAGUGCCACGCACCUGACGUGUGGCACUUACCAUUUUGGUAAUUUUGUGGAGGGCUAAGCUCCAUAAUUCCGUAUUGUAGCUGAACUUUCUGCAGUUACUUUUGGAAAGGUAAUUGGAGGACCCUUUGUCAAGACUGAGUGAAUAGUUAAAUGUGCUCACUGGGAAGUGAAGACAUCGCUGUCGACUAGCAGUCCCGGUGAAAAGCUUUGCCAGAAUGGUGGUCGCAGUGUGAUUCAACGAAAGCACAACGGGGCGCCAACAGUUUGGGCUGGUUCGGACUGGAACUGAAACUGAAGCAAGACGAGGCACAUUUUGUUGCUCAGAGACGUGUGACCUUUUCUUGAAGAAUCUUGUUUUGGAUACAAUGGAGUACUUUGAAAAUAUGAACAGGAAUAAAGCAAUCGACAGGAAUGGACAAUCUCUGGAGAGAGGAGAAGGCAAGGUAGGAUCAUUUGGGACAGUAAACAAUUACAGUGGCCAAGCCCUGGUGCACGGUUAGCUGAACAGAAGGGCCAUAGGCCAUCAAAUCUUGAUGCUGGUCCCUGCCGUACGUUCCUUCCAUUCUGGCUACCACCUCGCCGUCCACGUCUGCGAUGCCACCCUGUCUCGGAUCCUCCACAAGUUGCCCCGGUGAAUACCGAAAGGAUUUCACCUGCAGAAGGCAGAAGCAGUGGAAAACAAAUUCAACACUGUAAGUUGAUAAUCAGGUUGACAGGGAAAAGAUGGCUAUAACCUUGAGAUAUGUAACAUGUGCCAAAGCCAAAAGAUCAAGCCUUCGGACAGUCUUUCAGUAGGACUGCAUCCAUGUAGCUACCUGAGAACUGGAUUGCAACCACACACAAAUUACACCAAUACUUAUUCUUGGCCAUCGCUUGCAGAGAUAAGGCCUUGAUCGUGGUCGUGGUGGAGAAACAGAAAGAGACUACCAGCUCCCAGUGCACCUCUGGAUCAGAUAUUUUGCUCUCUUGUCUUGCUGUUUGGUGAGCUCUGGUUCUGAUUUCUCUUGUAUUACAACACUUCUCCAGUCCUCCUCGUUGGCAACCUUGCAUUACCGUCGCCGCCGUGGUGGCUCCAGCAACGAUUCUGUCCUUCACUCCUUCACCUCUGUAAGCAUUCCAACCUUCUAUGCUAUUUAGUUUCCCCUGUACAGAUAGUUCCGUCCGCACAAAAGAAACAAAUUUGCUUGCAGGGCUCUGCUUUAAUUUUUCUUUUCUUUUCUAACAUACUGCAGUAGACUAAUUUGUUUUGUUGUUCUCCGCUCCGACGGAUAUUUUCAUCUAAUUGAUGUAUCCCAUUGUUUGCCUCAUGAAGUCUUUCUAAUUCCCUGCCAUUUUGUCUAUUUACACAGCAGCCAAGAUCUUUGUGUUCGCAGUGCAAAAGCCAUUUUCCAAUCCCCAACGAGCAGUCCCCUGUGAUUCCAUGACUGGGGUGGCGCUGGCUGGCUUAAAGUUGGCUGCAUCGCCAAUCCUGAAGAGGCUCCUCGCUGAUGCCUCAACGUUCCUUGGGGUGGACAUGGCAAGUGAGCUCCAUGAACUGGAGACCACAAUUAUGCCGCAGUUUGAGCUGAUGGUUGAAGCAGCUAACAAAGGCAACCACAGGGUCAAGUUGGACAAAUGGGUCCAAGAGCUCAAAGAAGCCUUCUACAAGGCUGAAGACCUGCUGGACAUGCAUGAGUAUGACCUCCUUGAGCGCAGAGCAAAGACUGGGAGAGAUUCCUCGCCACUGUGUGCCUCAUCCAUCAGCACUAUUUUGAAGCCUCUGCGUGCUGCAUCUAACAGGUUAUCCAAUGUUCGCCCAAAGAACAAGAAGCUACUUUUCCAGCUGAAUGAAUUGAAGGCCAUUCUAGCGAAAGGGAAGGGGUUCUCUGAGCUUCUUUGUUUACCAGGUGGUAACAGUGCAGAGAGGCCCAUUAUUCCUCAGGCCACAUCAUUACCACCUCUGAAAGUAAUAGGUCGUGACAAGGAUCGCGAUGAUAUAAUAAACCUUCUUACCGAGCCGGUUGCUGUUGAAGCUAAUUCAGCUGUAUAUGCGGGUUUGGCCAUUGUAGGAGCAGGAGGUAUGGGAAAAUCCACCUUGGCACAACAUGUUUACAAUGACAAGAGGGUACAAGAACAUUUUGAUGUCAGGAUGUGGGUGUGCAUCUCACGCAAACUUGAUGUCCAUCGUCAUACACGGGAGAUAAUCGAAUCCGCAGCUAAGAGGGAGUGCCCACGUCUUGAUAAUCUGGAUACUCUCCACUGCCAAUUAAGGGACAUACUGCAGAAGUCAGAGAAAUUCUUGCUUGU
rnacentral:lncRNA from 1 species